rnacentral:ncRNA from 1 species
AUUGUGAAACAGAAUUUGAGGGAAGACUACAGCGAAUAUCUACCAUGACGUACAGAAACUUGAUAUAAAGAUUUAUAAGCAUGGAUGAAUUUGUAUAGCAAAGUUUGAUAGUUUUUCGGAACAUUUGUAGUAAAUCAAGCAGAUAUAAAAUGGA